rnacentral:rRNA from 1 species
UACGGAGGGUGCGAGCGUUGUCCGGAAUCACUGGGCGUAAAGGGCGCGUAGGCGGCGCGGGAAGUCCGUGGUGAAAGCCCGAGGCUCAACUUCGGGUCGGCCAUGGAUACUCCUGGGCUCGAGCACUGUAGAGGCAGGUGGAAUUCCGGGUGUAGCGGUGGAAUGCGUAGAGAUCCGGAAGAACACCGGUGGCGAAGGCGGCCUGCUGGGCAGUGACCGCAAGGUCUUAAAAGCUGACGCUGAGGCGCGACAGCGUGGGGAGCAAACAGG